rnacentral:ribozyme from 1 species
UUCCCAUCAACUCCUAUCCCUACCUUCUCGCGGUACUGGCCGGUGUAAGAGCAACCUUAGGUAAGAUCAGGUAACCAACACAUGUGGGAACUUUGGUCGUAUGCUAACAGGGAUGG